rfam:Beta vulgaris subsp. vulgaris chromosome 5, whole genome shotgun sequence.
GUAAAGGUUCUUUUAAGAACCACGAAUCUCUAUGAUCAGAUCAAGU